rnacentral:misc_RNA from 1 species
AUUGGGGUUGAAGGGUUUUGCUGUUGAGAACAAGGAGAAAUAGAGAAAUGAGGAAGCAAUCUAAAGCCAUGGUUUUGGGAUUCUUGGGAGAUGAAAUGAGAAUAAACACAAGAAGAAGGAGAGAGAUUUAACAGCUUAGAAGAGAGCCUACGUGAUAUCAGAAUAGAAGACAUCUUGGGUUGCCACAGACACCUGAUUGCAG